CUGAGAGAAGUCACGGCAGCUGCAGGAGGUCGCUGGCUCCGCUUAUCUCCGUAGGUCUUUGUGGAGAGGCGGAGCCGGCAGUCCGACUGUGAGGCGGGGCACGCCGGAGCCCGGCCCAAGAUGGCGGCGAGGAGAAGGGCAGCGGCCGUAAACCCAAGGGAGAGAGGCGGAGAGACGAGAAGGAGCCAGAGGGAAGCGGAUGCUGAACGAGAGCGAGAGAGAGCCACAGGAAGACAAAGACGCACGCGAUUGAAAGGUGGAGCGGCAGAGGAAGCCGGACACGGCAAGGCUGAAAAUAUACUUGUUAUUAUUGAAAAAUAAAAGAAAGUCUAACCUGCUACACAAUGUCCUUCCUUGGUGGUCCUGAGAACCCGCACGACAGCAAGAGUCUGUCACAGUCUUGUUUAAGUUAAAGCACCCAUGAUUGUCACACACACACUAGGUGUGGCGAAAUUGUUCUCUGCAUUUGACCCAUCACCCUGGAUCACCCCCUGGGAGGUGAGGGGAGCAGUGAGCAGCAGCGGCCAUGCCCAGGAAUCAUUUUGGGUGAUUUAACACCCAAUUCCAACCCUUGAUGCAAAGUGUCAAGCAGGGAGGUAAUGGGUCCCAGUUUUAUAGUCUUUGGUAUGACUCGGCCGGGGUUCGAACUCACGACCUACCGAUCUCAGGGCGGACACUCUAACCACAAGGCUACUGAUCUUUGUCAAUGUGAUGUCAGAUGAAACAAAAAUGGAGCCGUUUGGCCACAAUACCCAGCAAUAAAUAAAAACCCUGCUCAGUUUGUGUGUGAGAGAGUGUGUUGAAGCUCUGCUGCUACAUCUUUUGAAAUAUGUUGUAUUGAGUAACUGGAUAUAAGUGAUGUAUCUUAGUGUGUGGGGAG